ensembl:lncRNA
AGGAGAGUCAGGUGGCUGGGCACUUUUGGUUUCACUUUUCGGCUUGAUGUACAGACUGCUGCUGACUGCUGCUGUGCUGGAUGGCUAGGUCGCUCUGUAAUGUUCCCAUUAGCCUGCAGCAUCUGGACAAUUGUAACCACUUCAACACCGUGAAGUAUGCAGAAACAAUGCUUUUGGGGACUAGCAGUGGCUCCAUUCUCUACUGUUUUCCCGACUGUUGUGUUCUGGUGGCUUGUCUGAUGGUGAUAGACUAAUAGAUACGCACCAGAGGCUUUCUGCCCUCCUCUGGAUAUGGAGACAGAUCCUGAAGGAAGGACACAGCAAGCUGAAGGGUUCAUUGAGCACAGUGUUGUCUGGACUUUCUCCUGUCAUCAGUCUUGGUAGCAUCAAUUUAACAGAAAUUUCCAACUCUUCCGUUGCUUUCUCCAAAUGCUUUGAAAAGUAGGGCUUGACAUGCAACUAGACUUUGGUGAAGAAAAAAAUGUCUAGCCAUAGUCAUUAGAACCUCUGUCAGUCACUGUUGCUUCUCCUAAACUGCCCUGCCACCCAGAUGAUGGGUAGUUGGAUGAGCAGAGCAGUAAUCUGUCAUUGGAAAGAAAGUUCUAUGAAUAUGUAGCUAAGACCUUCACAUCACAGGCUCUGUUAUACCAGAACAUCUCCCUUGGCUUGCCCUUGUGGUCCCAUGGACCCUACAACUAGCAAAAGCAAGAUUUAAAAAAAAAAAAAAUCACGUUUAGUUCAAGAAUAUGUUUUGGUGUGAGAUCAACAACAACAAAAGAAAUGGUGGUCAUGUAAUAUCCCUACUAUAGUAUUAUAAAUCUGAUUUGUUACUAUUAUGAAAUGGAUGAGUCAAGAUAAUUUCAUAAUGAGAAGAGGUCACUUCAAUAACAGGUGUGGAGAUUCAAGGGCAUGUUGCUGGCAUCAGUUUGGCUUUGGUGGAUGGAAGGUUGUAUACAUGGCAAGGAAAAAUCAAUUGACAAAGCAGGGAGCCAGGGAGCUUUCAGAACUUAGUCUCAUUCUUAUCACAACUCAACUAGGAAGAAGCUCAGUGUCCUCAGAAUAGUGACUGUAAUUCCUCUGAAAGCAUCUGCCCCAGUGAUCUAAGAAUGUUCCAAGAGGUCUCACCUCUUUAAAGGUUCUAAGCUCCUAACACCUCCUAAAAGACAUUACAUUUCAACACAUGAACUUCUGUGGCACGUAUUAAGUCACAGCAGCAGUAGCAAUAGAUGUACCCACUUGGGAAUAAGCAAAGGUAGACAGGUGCACAUUGCAUUUUCCUUGGUCUUCUUUAUAUUUUGGCACAUACUAGAAGGGGCCAACCUACCUUGAAGUCUGUUCUACCCCACUCAGUUAAUCAUCUCUGGAAAUGCCCUCCCAGACACUGAUAGAGAGGAGUCUCCUAUGUCUUCUAAAUCCCACCAGUUGAUAAUUAAGGCCAAUCAUCAUAACCAUGUUAUUGGGCUUGCUAUUCACAGUGUUAUUUUUAAAUCGUAUUCAGUAAAUAAAUGACUAUGUUUCUUCACUUAUGUGUUAAGCAAUUUAUUGUAAAUAAUGUGCAGAUUUAUGUAAUCUCAUGCAUUUUUUACUCUACUAUUUCCUAUUGUGCUUGAUUUAAUCUUGAGGUUUGGUCACUAUGGUCCAAAGUAGGAUUAGUUUAUUCUGGAAUUUAUGAAGAAAGUAUCAGAGAGUUUGGGUGUGUGGUGGGCUGUGGGACCUGUAUUUGUAUGGGUGCACUUAAGUUUUACAGUGACAAAACUGACAAUUGUG